CACACUACACAGAUUAAGAUAAACCUUAGUGGCAGGUUAACAUUUACACACAUAACUUGAUUUAAAUUUGGAUGAAAUAGUGUACAUAAUUGUAUAUCAACCUAAACGAUGAUCUGCGCUUUUGAGUAACAUUUAAAACAUGGAGGUUGACGGUCGCAAAACAGAAGAAGAAGACCCCAGGGAAAAGGAAAAAUUUUGUAAACCUUGUAACAGAGAAAAUUUAACUGUCAGUGCAAAUGGAAUAUGUACCGAAUGCGAGGAAUAUAUGUGUAAGGUUUGUUUCGGCCAUCAUUUGAAGGCCAAAUUCUGUUCAGAUCAUGUCUUAACUGAGAUUAUCCAUUACAAUAAGCAAACAGCUAAAAUAAAUGUAGAAAUUUGCACUGAACAUGAUAAUGAGAAGGUAAAGUUUUUCUGUAGAAAACAUUCUGAAGUCGGAUGUGGUGAAUGUAUGGUUUUGGAACACAAUGCAUGCAAACCAGAGUAUAUUAAAGAACUAUCAAAAAAUCUAUGCAAUGAGAAAUCAUUUCAAGACAUGGAAAAGAAGCUGAAUGUACUUGAAAAGGAAGCGAGUGAUGCCAUAAAAUUAACACAAGAUCAAAGAAAAGAGAGCACCAAUUUGUUAGAGAAAGCUCUUGAAGAGAUUAGACUCUUCCGGAAUCUGAUGAAUGAUUAUCUAGACAAAGCAGAAGCGAAAGUAGUAUCAGAUGUCAAAAGCAUACAUUCCGAAAACGAAACAAGGAUGGAAAAUGUUGCUGAACGUGUUGAAUCUGUACUAACAGAUAUAAAAGCGAUGCAACAAGACAUGACUGAAGAACUACAUCGUGAAACUGUGCUGUUUAUCAAUUCGGUUCACUGCAAGCCUAAACUUGAAACCACUGAGCAGUCGUUAGGACAGUGCUAAAGCAAAUAACUUCAGUAGAACAAUUUACAUUCAAGGCUGAUGAGAAGAAAACAAAGCUCACAUCCUCUGAACAACAAUUAGGGCUCUUAAUUAAAUGUAUUCCAAAGCAAAACUCAGAGACAAGCGAUUUCACAAACGAGUUCCAGCUAUUGCAGAAAGAAAUGGAGAAAAUGCGAUUUAAAACCAUCAAUAGUUUUACGUUGGUGUACGCGUCCGACGAGGUCCUGACUGGAAUGCAGGAAACACGGAUGGCAAUGGUCUAGGUACUGUGACAAAAGUGUUCGAUGACAAUUCAUUACAUGUUGACUGGGAUAACGGUGGGAAAAAACAUCCUUGUCAUGCGGGAGCUAGUGGAUUGUUCACCAUUGAACCUGGCAUGAACUUUCAUACAGUGCCUGGACGGACUAAAUAUUAGAAAUAUUGCAAUUGAUAUUUAUAAUCCGUUUAAUAAGGUUGUGUAAAUACAAGACAUUUUAUUUAUUACUUUUUUACAUGUCUGUGGCAAAUAAACAUUUUCGGCAAAGAUCAGUUGCAUUUUUUAUUCUAUAGUCAGUAUUCACGUUGGAAGGCGACACUAUUUCGUAGCAAAUAGACUAAACAUUUUACACUUGGGCGUUUCUUAGGUCUGAUAGCAAAACAUGUGGAUAGACGUAAAGACUAGACUUUGUAAAGCUAAUUGUAACUGAGCCGCUUUAAUUCUUGUCAUCUGGCCCAAUCUGUCGUAUUGUUACCUUUGUGUGCAUUAGGGAUUCAUCUGACAGGGAUAACUUUGGAAUAUAGUAUGAGUUAAAAUUGAUUUUUGGCGUGCAAUAUUAUCUAAUUUAAACUACUCAUGGAACUGCCACUGAUCGUUUAAAAGGCAGUGUAAGAGAGCCAGACUGAUUGAUCUAUAAUUUAGAGAAGAGCAAUCAGAUAGUGUGAUCUUUUGUUAAAUGUGGUACUAAUGUUUGCCUGCUUAUCUACAUGUAGAUAAUAGAGGAUAUUUGUUUGUUUGAGUGAAUAUGGAAUAUAUCUCACUGAGAAGUGAGAAAAUUUCAAAUAUUUUCAUGAACGCGUAGUGAUAGUGAAAAUGUGAAAAUUUUCUCACUUCGAA
rnacentral:lncRNA from 1 species